ACUCACCCCCUUCUUCUGCCUCUUCUCACCUCCAGUCGCUGGGGCCAGUGGGAAAGACCUUCCCAGAGCGUGUGGUGAUGAGGGUCCCAUCCAGAUCGAAGCCGGCCACCUGACGUCAGCAAGAAAAGAGAAAUAGCAACCCCGUUAUGCCUCCGAUCUCCGGAUUCACAGGCUACAUCACAUGACCCCUGCAAGGUUCAUCCUUUUAGUGGUGAGACCUGUGCGGCGCGGAGCAGGUGGAGUGACAGCAGGAUCGGCUCGCUCCUUGGCAAGGGUCGUGACCUGAUUCAAACCUUCACGGUGACCUGAAAACAUCCUCCUCCGACAACUUGUCUCGGGAUUGGCUCCAUCCCCUCCCCACUAAGGGGUCUGGCUAGCUAGUUCCGGACCAGGCACAGCAUUUCUCUUCCUACGCUCCCCAGAGGGCACCUACCAACUUCAGCACUAGCUACACCAGCAAUCCCGCCCGGUGGCCAAGCAGCGCCCUUACUGGACUGGCUGUCCACCUUCCCCGCAGACCGAGUUCCCGCUCCAGCAGCGGGCCACACCCCCUACAGCUCCGGCCCCGCCCACCUU